UACAGAGGGGGCAAGCGUUGUUCGGAAUUACUGGGCGUAAAGGGCGCGUAGGCGGCCCGCUAAGUCGAACGUGAAAUCCCCAGGCUCAACCUGGGAACUGCGUCCGAUACUGGCAGGCUUGAAUCCGGGAGAGGGAUGUGGAAUUCCAGGUGUAGCGGUGAAAUGCGUAGAUAUCUGGAGGAACACCGGUGGCGAAGGCGGCAUCCUGGACCGGCAUUGACGCUGAGGCGCGAAAGCUAGGGGAGCAAACGGG
rnacentral:rRNA from 1 species